GGGGCUGAUUAGGUUUCGACGGGGUUUACGAAAACUAGAGGUGCAUGUCGAGUAGCGAUUGGUCUCGUUAAAAAUCGCAAUAAAUAGUCGCAAAUGAUAAAAACUACGCGUUAGCAGCUUAAUAUACUGUAUUAACGCUCUCUACUUAUCUUUUUGCUUUUUAAGAUAAAUAAAAAGAGAAUUAAUUAAAAGAUCGCGUAUAUAUCUUUUUCAGAGGGUAGUACGUUAAAUUUAAUCUGAAUAAUUUAUUAGUUAUGAGUCUAUUUGUAACAAAUAAAUGAAAUUUAAAAUAGACUAAGCAUGUAGUACCAAAGAUGUAGUAAUUUCGGACGCGGGUUCAAUUCCCGCCAGCUCCA
rnacentral:tmRNA from 1 species